UUCCGGUUGAUCCUGCCGGAGGACACUGCUAUCAGAGUACGCCUAAGCCAUGCAAAUCUGCCCGUUGACUUCAACGGACGGUGUACGGCUCAGUAACAAGUAGUCAAUCUGCCCUAAGGACGGGAGCAACCUCGGGAAACUGAGGUUAAUUCCCGAUGCUUCAUCUAUGCUGGAAUGCUUGAUGAGGAAAACGCGCAGCGAAUUGGAGCUGUUGCGCCUUAGGAUGAGACUGCUCCUGAUUAGGUAGUUGGUGAGGUAACGGCUCACCAAGCCGAUAAUCAGUAGGGGCAAUGGGAGUUGGCGCCCCGAGAAGGGCACUGAGACAAGGGCCCUAGUCCUACGGGAUGCAGCAGGCGCGAAACCUUUACAAUGCGCGAAAGCGUGAUAAGGGAACUCUGAGUGGCAGCCGGCUUUUGCCGACUGUCUUUUGGCGAACCUAAACCGUUCGCAGAAUAAGUUCUGGGUAAGACCAGUGCCAGCAGCCAUGUGCAAUCGCAUAUUGCGCACGGUACGCGGUAAUACUGGCAGAACGAGUGGUGCCCACGAAUAUUGGGUCUAAAGAGACCGUAGCUGGUCUGUUAAGUCCACUGUGAAAUCUUGGGGCUCAACCUCAAGGCGUGCAGUAGAUACUGGCAGACUUGAGAGCGGGGGAGGUCAGGGGUACUUACGGGGUAUGAGUAAAAUCAGUUGAUCCUGUAGGGACCACCAGUGGCGAAGGCGCCUGACCAAAACGCGUCUGACAGUGAGGGUCGAAGGCUAGGAGAACGAAUCGGAUUAGAUACCCGAGUAGCCCUAGCAGUAAAUUAUGCAGACUGUGGUGUUGCUAUGGCUUCGGGCCAUGGCAGUGCUGUAGCGUAGUGUUAAGUCUGCCACCUGGGGAGUACGGCGCAAGGUUGAAACUUAAAGGAAUUGGCGGG
rnacentral:rRNA from 1 species